AUGGCGCGCCCGACGAAGCCCCCGAGCCGGCCCCCAGCCGCCCACCGGGUUCCUGGUCAGGGCACACAACCGCCGCCCCUACGCCUCCACUCGCCAGCGCCGUAUCCCAGGAAACCGGGCUCUUCGCGCUCGCGGCACGCCGUGGGCCAAUCAGAGAACCAGAGCUGAGCACCUGGGAGGGCUACAGCCAAUUAGAAUGUCCAGGGGCACUGUGGAGGGUGGGGCAAAGGCGGUGCACCUAAAGACUGCGUCCCCACAGAAACUGUUGCGGAAGGAGAGCAGGUUCCCGGGCGACGUGGACUGGCAUGGGUUGAAAAGGAGUCGACGCUUGGGGGCCAGGGCUGAAGGGUCCCGGGGGCUGUCCGUUUGUUCAUUUAAUUUGAAAGCAAUUAAAAUUGAAUUUUAAAAUGAUUGUAUUUAGAAGCAACGAAACUAAAUUUACACCUUUAAAGUUUUUAGCCCAUUAUGUUAAGUUUUAACCUCGAGGUUUGGGAGUUUCAGUAAGUUCUUUAAAUAAUAAACAUUUUUUUCUCAGGAUUUCACAAAUGCCGUUUGCAGAUAACCAGAUCAGGUUGCAAGUGGCCACGUAUCCCAACGUGGAAAAGAAGAUAGUAUCACCUCCCUGUGGUGAUAGAAGACCUGAGAAGCCAAGUGGGACAGAGAUUAGCAACAAGAAGAUGCUACCACUCCCAGGACAGAAGGGACAAAGAAAAGAGGUGGUGACCAGAGCCCAGAAGCUGAAGUCACUGGGUGGGAAGUGGAGCUGCAGGAAUGACACAGCCACUGCAGGAGGAUGUUGCCUGAGAGAGAGGGCAAGAAGUACCGUGGCUUCUCUGUUUCUCUCACCCUCCAACCUCCCUCCAGAGGCUCCUAUUAGUUCAACCCCGCCAAUUGACUCAGGCGCUUGGAAAGGAAGGCUGCAAGCAUCACCACUAUCUAAUUCCAGAACAUUUUCAUCACCCCAAAAAGAAACCCCACACCCAUUAGCAGUCACUCCCUAUUCCCGAUCCCACCACCCUGUGGUAACUACUAAUCUAUUUUCUGUCUCUGUAGGUUUACAUCUUCUGGAUAGUUCGUAUAAAUGAUUCAUACAAUG